GAUGAACGCUGGCGGCGUGCCUAAUACAUGCAAGUCGAGCGAACAGAUGAGGAGCUUGCUCCUCUGACGUUAGCGGCGGACGGGUGAGUAACACGUGGAUAACCUACCUAUAAGACUGGGAUAACUUCGGGAAACCGGAGCCAAUACCGGAUAAUAUAUUGAACCGCAUGGUUCAAUAGUGAAAGACGGUUUUGCUGUCACUUAUAGAUGGAUCCGCGCCGCAUUAGCUAGUUGGUAAGGUAACGGCUUACCAAGGCGACGAUGCGUAGCCGACCUGAGAGGGUGAUCGGCCACACUGGAACUGAGACACGGUCCAGACUCCUACGGGAGGCAGCAGUAGGGAAUCUUCCGCAAUGGGCGAAAGCCUGACGGAGCAACGCCGCGUGAGUGAUGAAGGUCUUCGGAUCGUAAAACUCUGUUAUUAGGGAAGAACAAAUGUGUAAGUAACUAUGCACGUCUUGACGGUACCUAAUCAGAAAGCCACGGCUAACUACGUG
rnacentral:rRNA from 1 species